UACACACCAAUUUAUUACACUAUGAAAUGAUAACUUUUCCCCCUUUUUCUUCUCCCUUUUAGGGUUUUCUCAAAUUCAUAUCGCCGCAUGGAUCUGCAAUUUUGUAGAUCUAACAGUUACUUGCUGAGCAGAAGAGCUGAGAAAAUUGCAGUGAAUGUGCUUCAAUUCCAAACCGAAGGCAAGGAUUAUGUUAAUUUCAGCUCUUCUGCACCACCUGUUGGAAUUGGAGCUAAAGAUGAAGAGCAAAAGAUGUUGCAAAGUAAUGCAACGGUUUGGCUGGUUGCACGAGCAUUAAAUUCAUCACAAAUUUCAUAAGCAAGAAGCUAUGAAUUUUUGGAAAGUGAGGAAACUAGGUACCUCUUUUUGCUUUGUUCUUUGUUCGACUAAAAUAGUAAUAUUUGACGAGAUAGGUCAUCUCUUAGAAGUUGAAAGAUGGUUUCUUGUUAUCGUUGUCGAAGUUUCACUAACAUUAUAUCAUCUGAUAUGUGGCAAGCAUGUUUUGUGCUAAAUCACAUUGAGAAUUUGAAGAAUUUUCAAAAAGAACUUAUUACGAACAAUACAGUCACAUGUCAAUUGUUUCAAAAGAUUAUUGGUGAACUUAUCAUUUAAAAACUCUCAACAUCAAAAAUUAUGUUGCAGAGAAGAUAGGAAAAUUGACCAAUCUAAUAUGUUAAGAAAUUUGGAAUGAGGAAAAUUGAUCAAUCUAAUAUGUCAGAGUUUUGGAAUGAGGCAACAACAAUUUCAGGAGGGUCUUAUCAAGACUAGUUUCAUUGAAGGAACUAUGUAUUAUGAAAGUAGAAUUGGAAUUCUAAUCAUAAUUGACUACACCAACAUCAAUCGGAUGUUUUGGAGAUGUGAUUCACAGUAACUUGGGCCUUUGUUCCAAGUUAACACGAUACGCUUUAAAAGUAAACCAAGGUGUGUUUACCCUGUGUUUUGCCAAUGAAUACUUAUGAAAGGAAUAUGGAUCUCUCAGUCAUUGAGACCACCUCAUUGGGUGAUUGGAUCUGCCUCCUGUAGAGAAACAGUGAACGUCUACUUUCAAGCGGAAAUGGCUCAAAGAAUGUGCCACCUGAGUUGCUACUGGAUGGAUUUCAAUAAUUGAAAGAAUUGCAUCUAGAUGGUUGUGAUUCCCUAAUACAUUUGUUAAAGAUCCACCGUCAACAAAAUAUUAUGUUCCCCAAACUCAACGGUUACGUGUAAAUCAUUGUGAUAGUAUACAAUAUCUUUACUUGUCUGUCUUCAACUAGGAGUUCGUUGAAACUUGAAGACUUGAGAGUAGCUUGCCUUGAUGACAAGGAAGAGCAUUUUAAAUAGCUCUUCACUUCAUGUUAUCUUUGAUAUAGGAUGAGAUAUUGUCCCCUUUUUUCUAUUUGUCCGAGCCUGGAACAGAUAGAUCUCGUUGGGGAUGAUAGCAUAACUACUUAAUGCUCUCACCAACUUCCGAUAGACUACAUCAACAAACUUGAAAUAUUGGAAGUAAUCGAGUGUGGUAAACUGAGAAACUACAAAAAUGAAGUUGUCCGUUGAUGGAAGAAGUGAUCACGGAAGAGAACAACUAGGAGAAGAAAUGACUAACGGGUCCUUAUAUAACCAACCUCGGUUAGAAGAAAUGACUACCAAUCUCUUCUUCCAGGAACAAAAAGUUAGUGAUGAUGAUGAAUCUGAAGCUGGAAAUAAGUAAUGUCUAUUGUCUAUCAAAUCUAAAACUAGCGGGUAUUCCUCCCAUGGUAGCUAGUCUCAGAUGUUCUUCGAGUACACGAAAUAUAUGAUCGUUUUUCAAGGUAUAUAUACAAAUAUACAUAAUUUGUUCCGCCUCUGUAAUAAUAUCUAAGGAGAAUAAUGCAAAUAUCCUUUCAUUUUCUCA